rnacentral:rRNA from 1 species
GACGAACGCUGGCGGCGUGCUUAAUACAUGCAAGUCGAACGGAAAGGCCCUGCUUUUGUGGGGUGCUCGAGUGGCGAACGGGUGAGUAACACGUGAGUAACCUGCCCUUGACUUUGGGAUAACUUCAGGAAACUGGGGCUAAUACCGGAUAGGAGCUCCUGCUGCAUGGUGGGGGUUGGAAAGUUUCGGCGGUUGGGGAUGGACUCGCGGCUUAUCAGCUUGUUGGUGGGGUAGUGGCUUACCAAGGCUUUGACGGGUAGCCGGCCUGAGAGGGUGACCGGCCACAUUGGGACUGAGAUACGGCCCAGACUCCUACGGGAGGCAGCAGUGGGGAAUAUUGCACAAUGGGCGGAAGCCUGAUGCAGCAACGCCGCGUGCGGGAUGACGGCCUUCGGGUUGUAAGCCGCUUUCGCCUGUGACGAAGCGUGAGUGACGGUAAUGGGUAAAGAAGCACCGGCUAACUACGUG